rnacentral:rRNA from 1 species
UCCCCUGUUUAUCAAAAACAUGUCUUUUUGAGGAUAAUUUAAAGUUUAGUCUGCCCCCUGAAAAUUUUAAAGGGCUGCAGUAUUUUGACUGUACAAAGGUAGCAUAAUCAUUUGUCUCUUAAUUGGUGACUUGUAUGAAAGAUUGGAUGAAAUAUAGACUGUCUCAUUAUAAUUAGUAAAAUUUAAUUUUUUAGUAAAAAAGCUAAAAUAAUUUUAAAAGACGAGAAGACCCUAUAGAGUUUAAUAAUUAUUGUUAUGUUAAAAAAAUAUAAAAUUUAAAAUUAAAAUAAUAUUAGUUAUUUUGUUGGGGUGACAAAAAAAUUAAUUAAACUUUUUUUAAGUAAUUUACAUAUAUAAAUGAAUAAAUGAUCCAUUAUUAGUGAUUAAAAGAAAAAAUUACCUUAGGGAUAACAGCGUAAUUUUUUUUUUUAGGCCUUAUAAGAAAAAGAGUUUGCGACCUCGAUGUUGGAUUAAGAUAAAAUUUAAAUGUAAAAGUUUAAAAUUUUGAUCUGUUCGAUCAUUAAAAUCUUACAUGAUCUGAGUUCAAACCGGA